rnacentral:tRNA from 1 species
GGGGAUGUAGCUCAGUUGGUAGAGUGCUUGCCUUGCAUGCACAAGGCCCUGGGUUCAAUGCCCAGCACCACCA